rnacentral:rRNA from 1 species
CGCGAAUGGCUCAUUACAACAGCUAUAAUUUACUUGACCUUGACAACCUACUUGGAUAACUGUGGUAAUUCUAGAGCUAAUACAUGCAUUAAAGCUCUGACCUUAGGGGAAGAGUGCAUUUAUUAGAACAAAACCAAGCGGCUUCGGCUGUUUUCGGUUGACUCAUAGUAACUGAGCUGAUCGCAUGGUCUUGCACCGGCGACGUGUCUUUCAAGUAUCUGCCGUAUCAACUUUCGAUGGUAGUGUAUCUGACUACCAUGGUGAUCACGCGUAACGGAGAAUAAGGGUUCGACUCCGGAGAGUUCGCCUGAGAAAUCGCGAACACAUCUAAGGAAGGCAGCAGGCGCGAAAAUUACCCACUCUCAGCACGAGGAGGUAGUGACGAAAAAUAACGAGACCGUUCUCUUAUGAGGCCGGUCAUCGGAAUGGGUACAAUUUAAACCCUUUAACGAGGAUCUAUUGGGGGGCAAGUCUGGUGCCAGCAGCCGCGGUAAUUCCAGCU